rnacentral:rRNA from 1 species
AGUGAACGCUGGCGGCGUGCUUAACACAUGCAAGUCGAACGAGAACGGGUUAUAGCUUGCUAUAAUUGUCAGCUAAGUGGCGCACGGGUGAGUAAUGUAUAGGUAAUAUGCCUCUUACUAAGGGAUAACAAAUGGAAACGUUUGCUAAUACCUUAUACUCCUUAUUAACAGAAGUUAAUAAGGGAAAGAUUUAUUGGUAAGAGAUUAGCCUGUAUUGUAUCAGUUAGUUGGUGGGGUAAUGGCCUACCAAGACUAUGACACAUAACUGGUUUGAGAGGAUGAUCAGUCACACUGGAACUGAGACACGGUCCAGACUCCUACGGGAGGCAGCAGUGGGGAAUAUUGCACAAUGGACGAAAGUCUGAUGCAGCAACGCCGCGUGGAGGAUGACACAUUUCGGUGCGUAAACUCCUUUUAUAUGAGAAGAUAAUGACGGCAUUAUAUGAAUAAGCACCGGCUAACUCCGUGCCAGCAGCCGCUGUAA